UGGGGAAUAUUGGACAAUGGGCGCAAGCCUGAUCCAGCCAUGCCGCGUGAGUGAUGAAGGCCCUAGGGUUGUAAAGCUCUUUCACCGGUGAAGAUAAUGACGGUAACCGGAGAAGAAGCCCCGGCUAACUUCGUGCCAGCAGCCGCGGUAAUACGAAGGGGGCUAGCGUUGUUCGGAUUUACUGGGCGUAAAGCGCACGUAGGCGGACUAUUAAGUCAGGGGUGAGAUCCCGGGGCUCAACCCCGGAACUGCCUUUGAUACUGGUAGUCUUGAGUUCGAGAGAGGUGAGUGGAAUUCCGAGUGUAGAGGUGAAAUUCGUAGAUAUUCGGAGGAACACCAGUGGCGAAGGCGGCUCACUGGCUCGAUACUGACGCUGAGGUGCGAAAGCGUGGGGAGCAAACAGG
rnacentral:rRNA from 1 species